rnacentral:rRNA from 1 species
CCUACGGGGUGCAGCAGUGGGGAAUAUUGCACAAUGGGGGAAACCCUGAUGCAGCGACGCCGCGUGAGCGAAGAAGUAUUUAGGUAUGUAACGCUCUAUCAGCAGGGAAGAAAAUGACGGUACCUGAGUAAGAAGCUCCGGCUCAAUACGUGCCAGCAGCCGCGGUAAUACGUAUGGAGCAAGCGUGAUCCGGAUUUACUGGGCGUAAAGGGAGCGUAGGCGGCACGCCAAGUCGGAUGUGAAAUACCGGGGCCCAACCCCGGGGCUGCAUUGGAAACUGGCAGGCUGGAGUGCCGGAGAGGCAGGCGGAAGUCCUGGUGUUGCGGUGAAAUGCGUAGAUAGUAGGAGGAACACCAGGGGCGAAGGCGGCCUGCUGGACGGUGACUGACGCUGAGGCGCGAAAGCGUGGGGAGCAAACAGGAUUAGAUACCCGAGUAGUC